CCGUACUAGCCGGGGAGUUAGCGGUGCCCUCAACCUGCAAUCCGCUACAGCAGGGGUGAAUUCCUCGCCAAGGUUAUAAAAUGUGUGGUCUGACUUAUAUAAGUGGUGUUGAGAACUGGGCCCCACGCAAUGAAAAUUCAUGAACCCCGUGAGAUUCGGAAGGAAGCAGCGGUAAGUGGACACUUUCAUGUGCCGUGGACCAACCUGGUUUGAGCUAACUGUAUAGGUAUCGCGCAUAGUUUAUUUAUCGAAGCGAGGUGUACGG
rfam:Clostridium estertheticum subsp. estertheticum strain DSM 8809, complete genome.